CCCCACCCCGCACGCACGCACCCGAAAAACCCACCCGACACCAAACGCGGCUCCUCUCGAUCCCCUCGAGAGUAAACGCCGCCGCCGUCCUCUUCCUGACGCAACCGCAGGUCACAGCGCCGCCGCCAACAUCCGAGAGUAGCCGCCGCGCCUGAGGACCGAGAGGAGCCGCCACCGAGAUCCGAGACUAGCCGCUGCGGCUGAGGAACGAGAGGAGCCGCCGCCUCCAGGUUGCGACUGUGACACACCGCCGCCUCCAGGUCGCCGCCGAGGUCCGCAAUCGCCGAAGCCGGCCGGCCCUCACCUCCAUCGACCUCCUCUCGGAUGGAUCCUGCACGUCGCUAGAUCGACGGAAGGGGACCUCCACCACCGCCAUUCUUCUCCGUCCCCGACCUCCCGUCACCGUGCUCCCCGGAUCUGGCCGUGGCCACAACCGGCGGAGCUUCCCGGCCACCGCCGACGACGCCAGCAAGGUAGCCACAGUCGUUGUUGCCAGAUCCAUGGAGGAGCGUACCCCGGCCUUCUCCUCGUUUUCCUCUUGUUGUAUGCCUUUAUGCAUAUUGCUAUGCGUUAUCACUAACACAUUGGCAAUGCAACACCUUCUGGAGAUAGCAUUGAUGGUAGUACACAUGUUUUGUACUGUAAGCCAUUGCAUUUACCUAUAGGAAUACGCAACUCACAGUUCUAGCUCUCUGUAUGUUUUCGGUACAUGUUCGGAAUAUCUGCUACUAGGUGCAUACAAGAUGAAUCUUCAAGACAUGCUAUCUUGCUUCGUAAGUACUGCUAUUUAAGGUGAGCCUUGCAGAACUAUCUUUUAGUGUUUCCAGUUUAUCCUAAAGUAUUUUAGCCUAAAUUUCCUGUCAUUUAUAUAGAUGUGGGUUAUGCUAAUCUGACUUGGUAAGUUAUGGUAUUGUAGCUACUGCACAUGUCCCUCGAUUUCCCAGUUCCAUGUGUCAGGAUGCUAAUGUGGGUGUUACUAUAUUGCCUUCCAGUUUAUCCUAAAGUAUUUUAGCCUAAAUUUCUUGUCAUUUAGAUAGAUGUGGGUUAUGCUAAUCUGACUGGUGGGUUAUGCUAAUCUGACUGGUAAGUAUGGUAUUGUAGCUACUGUACAUGUCCCUCAAUUUCCCAGUUCCAUAUGUCAGGAUGCUAAUAUGGGUGUUACUAUAUUGCCUUCCAUUUUGUAAUAUGUUAUGUUUGCAAUUUCUCAGGGCCGCCGCCGCCGCCGUCCGUAGCAACGCAUAGGCCGCUUGCCCAGCUCCCUCAUUCCGAGCACGACACCACGCGUCGGAGCUUGUCGGGAGGCACGGAAGGACGAACAGAGUUCUACCGGUGAUCCGUGUUGUCGCCGACGGUGUCAUAGGAUCUGCGGUGACAAGGCGAUGGGGCUGCCAACCUACCUCCUCUUCACCACAGCGCAUGUGGAUUCUUGGGCUACCUCAACUUGGAUCAGCUUUUUCAAGAGGGGAUGCUUGCCAUUCAGAGGUAAAUGGUGCUCUUCAAUUUUGUUGUUGUUUGAUCUGGCUUGCAGUUUCUACAAAUGAUGUGAGGAUUGGCUUUGGGUAGUACAUCAUCUGCUCCAGUGUCUAAUUGCACGCAUAACAAUCACUUGAUUUAUGCGCUUCAACCUUCAAAUAGUUUGUAAUUUAUAGAAUUCACUACGGCACUUGUUCAUUCAUGUAUAUGUGGCUGGAUCUGAUGGAGAAGAUAAAGACAACUAAUACGCUGAAAAUGAUUUUACAUCCUGGUUCGAAAAGUAAAAGGGAAAUCUUCGAGUAAAUGUAUGUUCUACUGCAAAGGAACUUCCCGAGGGAUCCCAUUGAAAUUGAAAGUAUGUUUCUUUUUUUAUUCCUAUGCAUACUAAAUGUGCAUCUUGGCCUGGCUCUUGGCACACGCACAAUCCAUCAGAUGAACAGAGCACUCUUGGAGCGUGUUCUGUAAAUGUAUUCCUGGUCUGUCUACAACCUUAUUUUAUGGUCACAUACUAACACACCUUUUCAAAUUUUCUCUAAUAGAUCCUACUCUGUUUUAGGACUUCUAAUUGUUUCUCACUGCCAUGACCAAUGCAGGAUGAUGGUGGCUUCUUCAAAUAUGUGCAAGAUAUGUCCUGUUUAGCAUCACUGGAUUUUUGAAAACGUUAUAUCUGAAUUUAGAGUGCACUUCUGCAAAAAAGGUUUUGUCCUGAUUACUAUUCCGAUUUUAUUUCUGCAGGCACUGUGAAAUGACCGAAUGCCGCUAAUCAUUUUGGAGGUUUGUUGUAGGGUGCUCUACCAGGUCAUAAUAUGCACCCACACAAUUCAAGUUCAUAUUCUGGAAGGACAUUGACCAACGAACCUUGUAGUAAUGUUACAGGUCAUAAAAUUGUGUAUUCCUACUAACCAUCAUUGCAUGUGUGCAGUGGUUAGAGAUUUUGUAAUGGAUAAUCAAUUAUCUUUAUCUGCUUCUAACUCAAGGAAUCAUACUGCAACAUUUCCUCCAGUGCAGGCAAACUCGAAUGAUAGUUAGUAAACUUGAAAAUCUGGGUGAUGAAGCUGACUCAAUAGAUCCAGAUUUUGGCCGCUAAAGCUGGUAGUGCAUCCUUGUCUAUGGUGUGGACAGAGGGAGAAAGGAGGCAAUUAACUACGGUCUGAAUGUAAAAA